rnacentral:rRNA from 1 species
GGGCCCGCACAAGCGGUGGAGUAUGUGGUUUAAUUCGAUGCAACGCGAAGAACCUUACCAGGGUUUGACAUCCUGCGAAUCUCUGGAAACAAGAGAGUGCCUUCGGGAACGCAGUGACAGGUGGUGCAUGGCUGUCGUCAGCUCGUGUCGUGAGAUGUUGGGUUAAGUCCCGCAACGAGCGCAACCCACGUCUUUAGUUGCCAGCAUUUAGUUGGGCACUCUAGAGAGACUGCCGGUGAUAAACCGGAGGAAGGUGUGGAUGACGUCAAGUCAUCAUGCCCCUUACAUCCUGGGCUACACACGUACUACAAUGGCCGGUACAGAGGGCAGCGAUACCGCAAGGUGGAG